rnacentral:lncRNA from 1 species
UGAAAAAUAAGAAUUUGGGAAUUAGGGUUCUAUACUGAUUUUGGAAGAAAAGAGUAAGGAUUCAUGUUAAUUAUGCUUAGAAUUCAUAUUCAGAUUGAUUUUAGGAAUUAUAAUGUUGCUGUAAUCCGAAUUUAGAGAGGUUAGGAUUGUUGGAGGAAAAUUGGGGGAAAUUGCAAGAUUGUGAGAAUGAGAUGAAUUGUUGUUGUUGAUGCAUGUUUUAUGUUCCUUUAGAUGCCUAAUUGUAUAUUGAACCUAUAAACAAUCUUUGGAAACAUGUUUGGGCAUUGGGAGAUCAAAAUUGGGAGUUUUGGG